CAACCUGCCCUUAGGACGGGGAUAAACCCGGGAAACUGGGUAUAAUACCCGAUAGGUCUCGAUUGCUGGAAUGCAUCGAGAUUUAAAGCUCCGGCGCCUAAGGAUGGGUCUGCGGCCUAUCAGGUAGUAGUGGGUGUAGCGUACCUACUAGCCUACGACGGGUACGGGUUGUGAGAGCAAGAGCCCGGAGAUGGAUUCUGAGACACGAAUCCAGGCCCUACGGGGUGCAGCAGGCGCGAAAACUUUACAAUGCGGGACACCGCGAUAAGGGGACCUCGAGUGCUGGCAUACAAUGCUGGCUGUCCAGCUGCCUAAAUAGCAGUUGAUAGCAAGGGCCGGGCAAGACCGGUGCCAGCCGCCGCGGUAACACCGGCGGCUCGAGUGGUAACCGCUAUUAUUGGGUCUAAAGGGUCUGUAGCCUGCAGGUUAAGUCUCUUGGUAAAUCCGGCAGCUCAACUGUCGGGGUUCAGGGGAUACUGGUCUGCUCGGGACCGGGAGAGGUGAGAGGUACCUUGGGGGUAGGGGUGAAAUCUUGUGAUCCUCGGGGGACCACCAGUGGCGAAGGCGUCUCACCAGAACGGGUCCGACGGUAAGGGACGAAAGCUAGGGGCACGAACCGGAUUAGAUACCCGGGUAGUCCUAGCCGUAAACGAUGCUCGCUAGGUGUCAGUCACGGUGCGACCGUGAUUGGUGCCGUAGGGAAGCCGUGAAGCGAGCCACCUGGGAAGUAUGGCCGCAAGGCUGAAACUUAAAGGAAUUG
rnacentral:rRNA from 1 species